UUUUGGAAAGGGCAAAUAUGUCCUCAAUUAGACAUAAUUCUUUGAUGAAUCUAUCCUCCUCUUUGACAACUCUUAGUCUCCGUUCUUGUGACUUGCGAGGAAAACUCGAAAAUAACGUCCUUUGCCUUCCCGGUAUACAAACCCUUGAUCUAACGGGUAAUUGGGACCUUGAAGGUUCUCUUCUAAAGUCUAAUUGGAGUUGUAGUUCCCUGAAGUUCUUAGGUCUCUCUGGGAGAAUGUUUUCAAGAGAAUUCCUUAAUUCUAUCGGCAAUUUGAAGUCCUUGGAGCAUUUGGCUCUCCCUGGUUGCAAUUUUACGGGGUCAAUUCCAGCAUGGCUUGGGAACCUUACAUAUUUGGAUUUGUAAAAUAAUAGUUUUAGCAGUCUGUUGCCGUCAUCACUAUUCAACUUGCUGAAUCUCUUAACUUUACGCCUUGGGUACAAUCAACUUGUUGGUCCCCUUCCUAGUCACGUAAGUGGUUUGAAUCUAGUUGAUCUCUAUUUAAGAUCAAAUUUCCUAAAUGAAACACUGCGAUCUUGGUUGUUCAAUAUGCCAUCUUUGGAGACUUUGUAUCUUAAUGGUAAUCAAUUCAUUGGUGAGAUUGGUGAAUUCAAGUACAAUUCAUUGAAGUAUCUU